UGGCAUGGCGUCUGUGCUGCUGAGUGUCUCUCCUUUGUUUGGAUUAUUUGUUGUUCUUCGAGAGGUAGAUGGUUCUCCAGACGGCACCUUCGACAUUACAAACUAUUAGCUCCCUUGGUAUAGUGGAACGAGUUUUCACAGUGCUAUGGCAGACAAUAAAAUUUAAGCACCCGUUUGAAUCUCUCAGCCUCAUUCAUUGAAUCCAAGGGUCCACUACAGGACACAU